AUACGGAGGGUGCAAGCAUUACUCGGAAUCACUGGGCGUAAAGCGCGCGCAGGCGGUCUUUUAAGUUGGAUGUGAAAGCCUACGGCUCAACCGUAGAACUGCAUCCAAAACUAUUAGACUAGAGUGUGGGAGAGGAAGAUGGAAUUAGUUGUGUAGGGGUAAAAUCCGUAGAGAUAACUAGGAAUACCAAAAGCGAAGGCAAUCUUCUGGAACACUACUGACGCUGAGGCGCGAAAGCGUGGGGAGCAAACAGGAUUAGAAACCCGAGUAGUCC
rnacentral:rRNA from 1 species